AGGUAAAACUAUGAGAAACUCUAUGACCUAAGCAAGCUUGUAUGUCAAUAGAGCCCUCAAAUAUUUGCAUGAAUAAAAUUCGAUACAUUAUUUCUCUGUACAUUCAUAUAUUUACACAACAAUAUCUUAAUAACUAUUAUCCGAGAUGACGCCAGAGUGUGAACUCCGACAUGGCCAGGAAUCUUCUCACAACAAGUCAAAUGCGAAAAGUGAAAAAUACCGACCAUCACCCCCCACAGAGGAUGCCACACAAAUUGACUGAAUUCUCCAUUACAUAUUUUUUGAGCUCACUUCUAUACUUCCUGCUCCUCGUAUUGAUGUUGCUUUUCAAAUAUAUGGGUAGAUGGCUGUAGAGCUUAGGACCAUGAUAAAGUGAACUGUGUAGAA